AUUGAACGCUGGCGGCAGGCCUAACACAUGCCAGUCGAGCGAGCGGCGGACGGGUGAGUAAUGUCUGGGAAACUGCCUGAUGGAGGGGGAUAACUACUGGAAACGGUAGCUAAUACCGCAUACCAUCAGAUGUGCCCAGAUGGGAUUAGCUAGUAGGUGGGGUAACGGCUCACCUAGGCGACGAUCCCUAGCUGGUCUGAGAGGAUGACCAGCCACACUGGAACUGAGACAAGGUCCAGACUCCGACGGGAGGCAGCAGUGGGGAAUAUUGAACAAUGGGCGCAAGCCGGAUGCAGCCAUGCCGCGGGUAUGAAGAAGGCCUUCGGGUUGUAAAGGACUUGCAGCGGGGAGGCGUUACCCGCAGAAGAAGCACCGGCUAACUCCGGGCCAGCAGCAGCGGUAAUUC
rnacentral:rRNA from 1 species